UUCUGUUGUUGGGAGGUCUCAGCCUCUCUCCUCGGUUCCUCCCAGGGCUCUCACGUCUGCCUCCCUCCACGCCUCUGCCUUUUCUCCCUCCCUUCAACCCCUCCUCCAGCUUGACCCACGUGGGACGUUUCGGUGACAGGCCCUGGAAGAGGCGGAGGCCCUAGCGGAUCUGCCACAGCUGAGCGCAAGCGGAUGCUGGGAUGCUCGUGAUGGACAGACUGCGCAUCCUGAGUGAAGAGUGAAUGGUGCUGUGUCCAAGCACUAGUGUUACCUUCCUAAGGCAGUUAAGCCACUUUAGAAGAAGGAAACAAGCAAGCCGGUGACAUCCAGCCCGAUGUUUGGAGUGACAGCUGCUUCCUUGCUAAGACCUGGCCGUGCGUCCCCAUUCAGCUGCAGGCAGGCAUCAGUCCAACCACCGCCGUUUCCUGUGUCAGUUGCUCUCAACCUUGUUCUAGCUGCCAGAGUCUCAUAUGCUCGGGCUUCAGAAGACAAAAAGGGAAAUGGGCAGUGGAGAGCUGAGCCCGGGAGGGGUCACUGAGACAGCUGUUGUGAAAAUCCAACAGCCUCCGGGCUUUCCAAAGGGCACAAAUGUGCUUGCAAUUCCGCUGGGCCACUCUGAGAAGACCAACUUGUCAAUUACAUGGCAGAAAACAACAGUUGUUUGACAGUAGCCUCUUCGAGAUUUCCCUUCCCCAGAGACCCUCUGCCCUAGACUCCAAGAUCCGUCGAUGCCCUUAAGAAGUUUACAUUUCUAGAACAGUGAGUUUGACUAUGGACUGGGAAGAUGGCUCAUUGGAUAAAGUGCCUGCCCCACAAGAGUGAAGACCAGAUUUUUUUGAUUCUCUGCUCCCAGUCAAAUGCUGGGUUGACUUACUAGUGCACCUGGAAGCCCAGGGCUCAGGAAACAGAGGCAGUAAGUCCAUCCCUGGAAGAAGCUGAUGAGCUGGACUAGAUGCAUCGGUCAGUUCUGGGUUCCAGUGAGAGAACCUCAGUAUAUGAGAUAGAGAGAGACUGAGAGAGAUGCCAACACCAGCUACACCACACACUUUUUAAACAGGAAGACUCUGAUGGCUCGUUUCUUAGUACUUCUGCUCAGAGUUCCUACUGGCUAAACACAGAUCCACAAGUUUCCAAGGAAAACUUAACAGACUGUCGCCACCUAGUUGGGGUAUGCACUGGGCUAAGUAUUUAUGCUUCCUAAGGGACCCAAGGUUGUGGUUCCCAAAUAAAACCCAAUUCCAGCACA